AAAGUCGUAACAAGGUCUCCGUUGGUGAACCAGCGGAGGGAUCAUUACCGAGUUUUCAACUCCCAAACCCCUGUGAACAUACCUCGACGUUGCUUCGGCGGGACCGCCCCGGCGCCCAUCUGCGGCCCGGAACCAGGCGCCCGCCGGAGGACCCCAAACUCCUGCUUUGAUCAGCGGCAUUCUCUGAGUCUCACAAACAAAAAAUAAAUCAAAACUUUCAACAACGGAUCUCUUGGCUCUG
rnacentral:misc_RNA from 1 species